rnacentral:rRNA from 2 species
AGUUACCAGCACGUUAUGGUGGGCACUCUAAGGAGACUGCCGGUGGACAAACCGGAGGAAGGUGGGGAUGACGUCAAGUCAUCAUGGCCCUUACGGCCUGGGCUACACACGUGCUACAAUGGUCGGUACAAAGGGUUGCCAAGCCGCGAGGUGGAGCUAAUCCCAUAAAACCGAUCGUAGUCCGGAUCGCAGUCUGCAACUCGACUGCGUGAAGUCGGAAUCGCUAGUAAUCGUGAAUCAGAAUGUCACGGUGAAUACGUUCCCGGGCCUU